AUUGAACGCUGGCGGCAUGCCUUACACAUGCAAGUCGAACGGCAGCAUGGAGAGCUUGCUCUCUGAUGGCGAGUGGCGAACGGGUGAGUAAAGCAUCGGAACGUACCGUGUAGUGGGGGAUAACGUAGCGAAAGUUACGCUAAUACCGCAUACGCACUGAGGUGGAAAGCAGGGGAUCGCAAGACCUUGCGCUAUACGAGCGGCCGAUGUCAGAUUAGCUAGUUGGUAGGGUAAAGGCCUACCAAGGCGACGAUCUGUAGCGGGUCUGAGAGGAUGAUCCGCCACACUGGGACUGAGACACGGCCCAGACUCCUACGGGAGGCAGCAGUGGGGAAUUUUGGACAAUGGGGGCAACCCUGAUCCAGCCAUGCCGCGUGAGUGAAGAAGGCCUUCGGGUUGUAAAGCUCUUUUGUCCGGAACGAAACGGUCAGGUUGAAUACGCCUGACUACUGACGGUACCGGAAGAAUAAGCACCGGCUAACUACGUGCCAGCCGCCGCGGUAA
rnacentral:rRNA from 1 species